GAUGGACGCUGGCGGCGUGCCUAAUACAUGCAAGUCGAGCGAACAGACGAGGAGCUUGCUCCUCUGACGUUAGCGGCGGACGGGUGAGUAACACGUGGAUAACCUACCUAUAAGACUGGGAUAACUUCGGGAAACCGGAGCUAAUACCGGAUAAUAUAUUGAACCGCAUGGUUCAAUAGUGAAAGACGGUUUUGCUGUCACUUAUAGAUGGAUCCGCGCCGCAUUAGCUAGUUGGUAAGGUAACGGCUUACCAAGGCAACGAUGCGUAGCCGACCUGAGAGGGUGAUCGGCCACACUGGAACUGAGACGCGGUCCAGACUCCUACGGGAGGCAGCAGUAGGGAAUCUUCCGCAAUGGGCGAAAGCCUGACGGAGCAACGCCGCGUGAGUGAUGAAGGUCUUCGGAUCGUAAAACUCUGUUAUUAGGGAAGAACAAAUGUGUAAGUAACUAUGCACGUCUUGACGGUACCUAAUCAGAAAGCCACGGCUAACUACGUG
rnacentral:rRNA from 1 species